GAUGAACGCUGGCGGCGUGCCUAAUACAUGCAAGUCGAGCGAACGGACGAGAAGCUUGCUUCUCUGAUGUUAGCGGCGGACGGGUGAGUAACACGUGGAUAACCUACCUAUAAGACUGGGAUAACUUCGGGAAACCGGCGCUAAUACCGGAUGAUAUUUUGAACCGCAUGGUUCAAAAGUGAAAGACGGUCUUGCUGUCACUUAUAGCUGGAUCCGCGCUGCAUUAGCUAGUUGGUAAGGUAACGGCUUACCAAGGCAACGAUGCAUAGCCGACCUGAGAGGGUGAUCGGCCACACGGGAACUGAGACACGGUCCAGACUCCUACGGGAGGCAGCAGUAGGGAAUCGUCCGCAAUGGGCGAAAGCCUGACGGAGCAACGCCGCGUGAGUGAUGAAGGUCUUCGGAUCGUAAAACUCUGUUAUUAGGGAAGAACAUAUGUGUAAGUAACUGUGCACAUCUUGACGGUACCUAAUCAGAAAGCCACGGCUAACUACGUG
rnacentral:rRNA from 1 species